rnacentral:rRNA from 1 species
ACAGGGAUUGCCCUAGUAACGGCGAGUGAAGCGGCAACAGCUCAAAUUUGAAAUCUGGCGUCUUUGGCGUCCGAGUUGUAAUUUGCAGAGGGCGCUUUGGCAUUGGCAGCGGUCCAAGUUCCUUGGAACAGGACGUCACAGAGGGUGAGAAUCCCGUACGUGGUCGCUAGCCUUUACCGUGUAAAGCCCCUUCGACGAGUCGAGUUGUUUGGGAAUGCAGCUCUAAAUGGGAGGUAAAUUUCUUCUAAAGCUAAAUAUUGGCCAGAGACCGAUAGCGCACAAGUAGAGUGAUCGAAAGAUGAAAAGCACUUUGGAAAGAGAGUUAAAAAGCACGUGAAAUUGUUGAAAGGGAAGCGCUUGCAGCCAGACUUGCCUGUAGUUGCUCAUCCGGGUUUCUACCCGGUGCACUCUUCUAUAGGCAGGCCAGCAUCAGUUUGGGCGGUUGGAUAAAGGUCUCUGUCAUGUACCUCUCUUCGGGGAGAACUUAUAGGGGAGACGACAUGCAACCAGCCUGGACUGAGGUCCGCGCAUCUGCUAGGAUGCUGGCGUAAUGGCUGUAAGCGGCCCGUCUUGAAACACGGACCAAGGAGUCUAACAUCUAUGCGAGUGUUUGGGUGUCAAGCCCGAGCGCGUAAUGAAAGUGAACGGAGGUGGGAACCUUUCGGGGUGCACCAUCGACCGAUCCUGAUGUCUUCGGAUGGAUUUGAGUAAGAGCAUAGCUGUUGGGACCCGAAAGAUGGUGAACUAUGCUUGAAUAGGGUGAAGCCAGAGGAAACUCUGGUGGAGGCUCGCAGCGGUUCUGACGUGCAAAUCGAUCGUCAAAUUUGGGCAUAGGGGCGAAAGACUAAUCGAACUAUCUAGUAGCUGGUUCCUGCCGAAGUUUCCCUCAGGAUAGCAGUAACGUUUUCAGUUUUAUGAGGUAAAGCGAAUGAUUAGAGGCCUGGGGGUUGAAACAACCUU